rnacentral:rRNA from 1 species
UUCCAGACUCCUACGGGAGGCAGCAGUGGGGAAUAUUGCACAAUGGGGGAAACCCUGAUGCAGCAACGCCGCGUGAGUGAAGAAGUAUUUCGGUAUGUAAAGCUCUAUCAGCAGGGAAGAAGAAGGACGGUACCUGACUAAGAAGCCCCGGCUAACUACGUGCCAGCAGCCGCGGUAAUACGUAGGGGGCAAGCGUUAUCCGGAUUUAUUGGGUUUAAAGGGUGCGUAGGCGGAAUGCCAAGUCAGCGGUAAAAUCGGGGGGCUCAACCUCGCUCCGCCGUUGAAACUGGCGUUCUUGAGUGGGCGAGAAGUAUGCGGAAUGCGUGGUGUAGCGGUGAAAUGCAUAGAUAUCACGCAGAACUCCGAUUGCGAAGGCAGCAUACCGGCGCCCAACUGACGCUGAAGCACGAAAGUGCGGGGAUCGAACAGGAUUAGAUACCCCUGUA